UACGUAGGGCGCAAGCGUUGUCCGGAAUUAUUGGGCGUAAAGAGCUCGUAGGUGGCUUGUCGCGUCUGCCGUGAAAGCUCAUGGCUUAACUGUGGGUCUGCGGUGGAUACGGGCUGGCUAGAGGUAGGCAGGGGCAAGCGGAAUUCCUGGUGUAGCGGUGAAAUGCGCAGAUAUCGGGAGGAACACCAAUGGCGAAGGCAGCUCGCUGGGACGGUACUGACGCUGAGGCGCGAAAGCGUGGGGAGCAAACAGG
rnacentral:rRNA from 1 species